rnacentral:ncRNA from 1 species
UCCAUCGUGAGGUGGAAUUUGAAGAAAGCCAGCGGCAAAGUCCCGGUUCGACGAACAGAAACUGCAUAUAAGGCAAUAUGUGAUGGACGAGGCUGCACUACAAGUCAAAGUCCGAUACUAUCCGAAAUCACAAUUUGUAAAUGCAGCGAACACAUGGGAUGAAGGUGUAUGAU